rnacentral:lncRNA from 1 species
CCUCCUUGGUGCCCACCAUGAGACAGAGGAUGCGCGCGCCCUCGGGCGUGAGCAACUGCUGGACCUCCCCGGUGCGCCCGUUGGUGCCCGUGGCCUUGCAGCGCUCUGGGAUGGCGCGGAUGUAAAAGAGGGCCUCGUUGGAAAAGCCCGAGGCCACGUCCUCACCGGCGUCCAGGUCGGCGUCGCCUGCUGGGAGCACGUGCCAGUCGUCGGCCUCGUCGAGGCCCAUGUCGUCGGUGAGGCGCACGCUCCUGGGCGGUCUCUGGCGGCACUUGGAGUUGUCCAUCAUGAGCAGGAUGUCGAUCGCGUCUGGUGUUGGCCACAGCAGAAAGGCGAGUUGGAGGAAAAAGACGAAAAUAAAAUAGCAAAAGGAAGCGCUGUAAAGAAGCGCAAGGAGAAUGGAG